rnacentral:rRNA from 1 species
GGCUAACGCUGGCGGCGUGUCUUAGCCAUGCAAGUCGAGCGGACUUAUGGGGUAACUUAUAAGUCAGCGGCGGACGGCGGAGUAACACGUAGCUAACCUACCCUCUGGACGGGGAUAACCUACCGAAAGGUGGGCUAAUACCCGAUGUAGUCAUCCUGUAUAGGGGUGAUGAAAGGUGGGCUUCUGUUUACAAGCUCAUGCUGGAGGAGGGGGCGUGCGGCCUAUCAGGUAGUUGGUAGGGUAAUAGCCUACCAAGCCGAUGACGGGUAGCCGGCCUGAGAGGGUGACCGGCCCGAGGGGCGACUGAGAUACGGGUCCCACUCCUACGGGAGGCAGCAGGCUAGAAAUUUGGGCAAUGGGGGAAACCCGUGACCCAGUGACGCCGCGUGCAGGAAGGAGCCCUUCGGGGUGGUAAACUGCUGUCGUGUAGGGAGAAGGGUACUAAGGUGAACAAUCUUAGUACUUGACGGUACUACAGGAGGAAGCCCAGGCUAACCUCGUG